UCGCCUGUGUUCUGUACGAAAGUGAGCGUAGUCGAGUAAAGAUGGUCGUUGUCGUCGCGCUGUGAAGAAAAAUUAGUGCCGUGUGAGAAAGAAAAAGUUAAACUAUCACCGGAAAAUCGAAGAUAAAGUGUAUUUCUUGGCCAAAUUUCCGGUGAAAUUUUUGAAGAAAACGUGCGAGUGUAGUUUGUGGUCGCAUAGACGAUCAAAAAGUACCAAUAAAUUGAAUAAAUCGAUCUAUUAGAAAGUUUCUUUUACAUCCCGCUAGGAGCUCGCUAGGACAGUAAGCUUCUAGCCAUGACGACUGACAUCUCGGUAGUGCGGUGGGAUCCCAGCCAGGGCCCCGGCCAGGAGUACAUCGACGAAUACGAAUACGACGGAGGCAACUCCAGUUCACGCCUUUUCGAACGGUCACGAAUUAAAGCAUUAGCGGAGGAACGUGAAAGCGUCCAGAAGAAGACAUUCACAAAAUGGGUCAACUCGCAUUUGGUGCGGGUCAACAGUCGAAUAGGUGACCUGUACGUGGACAUGCGGGAUGGUAAAAAUCUAAUCAAACUGUUGGAAGUAUUAUCUGGCGAACGCUUGCCUCGACCGACCAAGGGUAAAAUGCGUAUCCACUGUCUGGAGAAUGUAGACAAAGCAUUACAGUUCCUACGCGAUCAGCGAGUUCAUCUGGAGAACAUUGGUUCUCACGAUAUCGUUGACGGUAAUGCCAGUCUGAACCUCGGUCUUAUAUGGACCAUCAUUCUACGAUUCCAGAUCCAAGAUAUUACAAUUGAAGAAACGGACAACAAAGAAACAAAAUCUGCCAAGGAUGCUUUGCUGCUCUGGUGUCAGAUGAAGACGGCUGGAUAUCACAAUGUGAAUGUGCGAAAUUUCACCACUUCCUGGAGAGAUGGGCUUGCUUUCAAUGCCAUUAUUCAUAAACAUCGUCCGGAUCUCAUUCAGAUCGAGAAACUGACAAAGAAUAACCCGAUCCAAAACUUGAACAAUGCGUUCAACGUUGCGGAAGAGAAACUCGGUCUGACUAAGCUAUUAGACGCCGAAGAUGUGUUUGUCGAGCAUCCCGAUGAGAAAUCCAUCAUCACGUAUGUCGUUACGUACUAUCAUUACUUCAGUAAACUGAAGCAGGAAACCGUGCAAGGUAAACGUAUUGGUAAGGUGGUCGGAAUCGCUAUGGACAACGAUCGUAUGAUUAACGAGUAUGAAUCGCUGACAAGCGAACUGCUAAAGUGGAUCGAAGUGACAAUCGUUCAGCUUGGUGACCGACAGUUUGCCAACUCGUUGGUCGGAGUUCAGCAGCAGUUAGCACAAUUCUCCAAUUACCGUACGGUUGAAAAACCGCCGAAAUUCGUCGAGAAAGGUAAUCUGGAAGUGUUACUGUUCACACUGCAAUCGAAGAUGAGAGCGAACAAUCAAAAACCUUAUACCCCCAAGGAAGGAAAAAUGAUUUCCGAUAUCAACAAAGCUUGGGAACGAUUGGAAAAGGCCGAACACGAGCGUGAAUUGGCGCUCCGCGAAGAACUCAUUCGUCAGGAGAAACUUGAACAGUUGGCAGCUCGUUUCAAUCGUAAGGCAACGAUGAGAGAAACCUGGCUUUCGGAAAAUCAGCGCCUGGUAAGUACAGAUAACUUCGGUUUCGAUCUGGCUGCUGUGGAAGCUGCCGCCAAAAAGCACGAGGCAAUCGAAACCGACAUAUUUGCCUACGAAGAACGAGUCCAAGCCGUAGUUGCGGUCUGUAAUGAAUUGGAAGCCGAGAAGUAUCACGACAUUGAACGAAUUGCAGCACGAAAGGACAAUGUUCUGCGACUUUGGAAUUACUUGCUUGAGCUGUUGAGGGCUAGAAGAAUGCGUCUGGAGUUCUCAAUUCAGCUGCAGCAGAACUUCCAAGAAAUGAUUUACAUUCUGGAUUCCAUGGAAGAGAUCAAACAGCGCCUAUUGACAGAUGAUUAUGGCAAGCAUUUGAUGGGAGUGGAAGAUUUGCUGCAGAAGCACUCACUCGUUGAAGCUGACAUAAAUGUUCUUGGCGAGCGGGUCAAACAAGUUGUUCAAAAUUCGCAGAAGUUCUUGGGAGACGAAGAAGGUGGAUACAAACCUUGCGAUCCGGCUAUUAUCGUCGAUCGUGUUCAGCGUCUUGAAGAUGCCUAUGCAGAACUUUGCAAAUUAGCUGUGGAGCGUCGCUCUCGGCUUGAAGAAAGUCGCAAGUUGUGGCAAUUUUAUUGGGACAUGGCUGAUGAAGAGAACUGGAUUAAGGAGAAAGAACAAAUUGUUUCAACUGAUGAGAUUGGUCAUGAUUUGACAACAGUCAACCUUUUACUGUCGAAGCACAAAGCUCUUGAAAAAGAAAUCCAUUCUCAUGAGCAACAGUUGAUGGACGUCAGUACCGUUGGUGAUGAAUUGGUUCGACAGGGACACUUUGGAGCCGAUCGCAUUGAUGAACGUCUCAAGGAAAUUUUGGCUAUGUGGAAUAAUUUGUUGGAUUUGACUGUCUCCCGUCGCAAGCGUCUUGAAAAUGCUGUAGAUUACUUCCAGCUGUUCGCCGAUGCCGAUGACGUAGACAACUGGAUGCUCGAUGCUCUGCGGUUGGUUUCUUCCGAGGACGUUGGACGGGAUGAAGCUAAUGUUCAAAGUUUAUUGAAGAAGCACAAAGAUGUAGCGGAUGAGCUGAAAAAUUACGCUGAAACCAUCGAACAAUUACACACUCAGGCGGCUAACUUGGUUUUGACUGAACCGGAGCAUCAAAAGGUUCAGGAACGUUUGGCAGCUAUCGAAGCUCGUUACAAGGAACUUAUGGAACUUGCUAAGCUUCGCAAACAGCGAUUGUUGGAUGCACUUAGUCUGUACAAGCUUAUUUCUGAGAGCGACGGUGUGGAACAAUGGAUCGGCGAGAAGGAACGUAUGUUACAGACGAUGGUACCAGGCAAAGAUAUUGAAGAUGUCGAAAUUAUGAAGCAUCGCUAUGACGGCUUUGAUAAGGAAAUGAACGCAAAUGCUUCUCGUGUAGCCGUCGUCAACCAACUCGCUCGGCAGCUUUUGCAUGUUGAACAUCCAAACUCAGAGGAAAUUAUUGAGAAGCAGAACCACUUGAAUCAAAGCUGGUCGAAAUUACGUGAUCAAGCUGAGAGUAAGCGCGACGAGUUGAAAUCCGCUCAUGGAGUGCAAACGUUCUACAUCGAAUGCCGUGAAACUGUAUCCUGGAUCGAGGACAAGAAACGUAUUCUCACUGAAACUGACAGUCUUCAAAUGGACUUAACGGGUGUCAUGACUUUGCAGCGUCGUUUAAGUGGAAUGGAACGCGACCUUGCUGCCAUUCAGGCCAAAUUAACCGCUUUGGAGAGUGAAGCCGAUGCAAUUGAAGGUGAACAUCCAGAAGAAGCUGCUCUGAUUCGUGAGAGAGUAGCCCAAAUUCAGGUCAUCUGGGAACAGCUUACCCAGAUGUUGAAGGAACGUGACUCGAAAUUGGAAGAGGCCGGUGAUCUACAUCGUUUCCUGCGUGAUCUAGAUCAUUUCCAAGCUUGGUUAACCAAGACUCAAACGGAUGUGGCCUCCGAGGACACUCCAACGUCGCUUCCGGAAGCAGAAAAAUUGCUGAAUCAACACCAGAGCAUACGCGAGGAAAUCGACAACUAUACCGAGGACUACACUAAGAUGAUGGAGUAUGGCGAAGGACUUACCUCCGAACCUACUCAGACCGAAGAUCCGCAAUAUAUGUUCUUGCGUGAGCGUCUAAGGGCUCUCAAAGAUGGUUGGGAGGAGCUUCAUCAGAUGUGGGAGAAUCGUCAAGUUCUACUAUCACAGAGCUUGGAUCAACAGCUGUUCAAUCGCGAUGCUCGUCAAGCCGAAGUUUUGCUUAGCCAGCAAGAGCACGUUCUCAGCAAGGAUGAUACUCCAGUUAAUCUAGAACAGGCAGAGAAUCAAUUGAAACGUCACGAAGCCUUCCUUACAACAAUGGAAGCAAAUGAUGAGAAGAUCAAUACCAUAGUUCAGGUUUCAGAGCAAUUGGCUGAAAAGCAACAUUUCGAUUCGGAAAAGAUCGGUAAGCGUGCUGAAAGUAUUGCUCACCGGCGCGAUGACAAUCGUAAUCGUGCGAUUGAACUGCACGAAAAGUUGAAGAACCAAGUAAAACUGCACGAAUUCCUACAAGAUAUUGAAGAGUUAACCGAAUGGGUACAGGAGAAAUACAUCACCGCACAGGAUGACACGUAUCGAAGUGCUAAGACCGUACACAGCAAGUGGACCCGUCAUCAAGCAUUCGAGGCUGAAAUCGCUGCCAAUAAAGAACGUCUUCAUGAAGCGCAGAAGGCUGCACAGGAGUUGAUGGUAGAGAAGCCAGAAUUUAAGGAAAUCAUCGAGCCCAAGUUGCAAGAUUUGGCUAAGAACUUUGAUGAACUUGAAACCAGCACCAAGGAAAAGGGAGCUCUACUUUUCGAUGCCAAGCGUGAAGUUAUCGUUCAGCAAAGUGUUGAUGAUAUUGAUUCUUGGAUGGACGACCUCGAGAAACAAAUCAUCAAUCCUGAUACGGGUAGUGAUCUAACCUCAGUGAACAUUUUGAUGCAAAAACAACAAGUGAUUCAAACUCAGAUGGCCGUUAAGGCACGUCAGGUUGAAGAACUCGAAAAACAAACUGAAGUUCUUACUAAGACUAUUCCUCAGGACGUCGUAGAGCCAAUCGUAGAAAAGAAACAAGCCGUUCAUGAUCGAUUCGAAAAAAUCAAAGCUCCUUUACUGGAGCGUCAACGUCAGCUGGAAAAGAAGAAGGAAGCCUUCCAGUUCCGUCGGGAUGUCGAAGAAGAAAAGCUUUGGAUCGACGAAAAAAUGCCUCUGGCUAAUUCUCAGGAAUAUGGCAAUUCUCUUUUCAAUGUGAAUGUAUUGAAGAAAAAGCACCAAUCGUUGAACACCGAAAUCGAUAAUCAUGAACCGAGAAUUAUGACUAUCUGUAACAAUGGGCAAAAACUAAUUGACGAGGGUCACGAAGACGCUUCCCAAUUUGCUGAUCUUAUCAGUCAGUUGACUCAGAAAUGGCAGGAACUCAAAGAUGCUAUUGAUAAUCGCCACAAGCAAUUGGAUCAAUCUGAAAAGGUGCAGCAAUACUUCUUCGAUGCUGCUGAAGCUGAAUCGUGGAUGAGUGAGCAAGAACUCUACAUGAUGGUGGAGGAUCGUGGAAAAGACGAGAUUUCUGCACAAAAUCUGAUGAAAAAACACGAAUCAUUGGAGCAAUCGGUUGAGGAUUAUGCUGAUACCAUCCGACAAUUAGGAGAAACAGCACGUCAGUUGACCGCUGAACAGCAUGCGUACAGCGAUCAGGUGUCCGUGAAACAAUCACAACUGGAUAAAUUAUAUGCCGGUCUGAAGGAUUUGGCUGGAGAACGUCGGGCUAGACUGGAUGAAGCUCUUCAACUGUUUAUGCUGAAUCGUGAAGUAGAUGACCUUGAGCAAUGGAUUGCCGAGCGUGAGUUGGUUGCAGGAUCGCACGAACUUGGUCAGGAUUACGAUCAUAUUACGUUACUAUGGGAACGCUUCAAUGAGUUCGCCCAGGACACUGCAGCGGUCGGAAGUGAACGUGUAGCUAAAGCUAAUGGUAUUGCAGAUGAUCUUAUCCACGCAGGACAUUCGGAUAGUGCAACGAUAGCUGAAUGGAAGGAUGGUCUAAACGAAUCCUGGCAGGAUCUGCUGGAAUUGAUCGAAACCAGAAAGGCCAUGUUGGCGGCAUCACGUGAACUGCACAAAUUCUUCCACGACUGCAAAGACGUUCUUGGUCGCAUCAUCGAAAAGCAGCAUGGUGUUUCGGAUGAACUGGGACGUGAUGCGGGAUCCGUGUCGGCACUACAACGCAAACAUCAGAACUUCAUUCAGGAUCUAAUGACGCUCCAUUCGCAAGUACAACAAAUCCAGGAAGAGUCAGCCAAGUUACAGGCAGCUUAUGCAGGUGAAAAGGCCCGCGAAAUCACUAACCGAGAGCAUGAAGUACUCGCUGCUUGGGCCAACCUGCAAGGAAUGUGUGAUGCACGUAAGAACAAGCUGGCCGAUACAGGAGAUCUUUUCAAGUUCUUCAAUAUGGUACGUACUUUGAUGCUUUGGAUGGAAGAUGUCGUACGACAAAUGAACACGUCCGAAAAGCCUCGUGAUGUAUCUGGCGUUGAGCUGCUUAUGAAUAAUCAUCAGAGUUUGAAGGCAGAAAUUGAUACUCGUGAAGAUAAUUUCACUGCAUGUUUAGCACUAGGAAAGGAGUUGCUAGCUAGAAAUCAUUACGCUUCGGCGGAUAUCAAAGAACGCCUGUUGCAGCUGACCAAUAGCAGGAAUGCUCUUCUUCACCGAUGGGAGGAACGUUGGGAAAACCUUCAACUGAUUCUUGAAGUGUAUCAGUUUGCCCGCGAUGCUGCUGUUGCUGAGGCUUGGCUCAUUGCGCAAGAACCGUAUCUAAUGUCAACUGAACUUGGACACACGAUUGACGAGGUCGAAAAUCUUAUCAAGAAACAUGAGGCGUUCGAAAAAUCUGCCGCUGCCCAGGAGGAGCGUUUCAGUGCUUUAGAGCGGUUAACAACGUUUGAGCUCAAAGAAAUGAAACGUCGACAGGAAGCAGCAGAGGAAGCCGAACGUCAACGUUUACAAGCAGAAGCAGAGGCCAAGGCGGCAGCAGAAGCCGAAGCCGAAGCAGCGCGACAAGCUGAGGCGGCAGCGCGAGAUACAUCUGAUGCGCCAGGCUCCCCACAUUCCACGCGGGAACAGGAAUCAGUCACUAUGCGAGCAACUUCACCUGUAGAAAAAGAAAGACCUCUUUCCCAGCCAGUGCAUGCAAAAACUAAACUCACUAGAGAAGCAGCCUUGCUUAAGCAAGCUCCGAGAACAAUAAGUUCAAGGACUGGUACAUUGCCAAAGUAUCCCUCCACCGGCACUGACACACCAAGCACCGGUAUCCCGAGAAGGCAUUCAACGACACCCAAAGAACGAUCCGCCAGCACGGCUAGUGCUUCAGCAUCAAAAGUUAGUCGAAGAUCUCGUUCCAAGAGUCCAUUCCGAAGCUUCCGCUGGAAGCGUGGCAGCUCAAAAGCGGAAGUAUCCGACGAUGAAGGAGAUCGUCCAAGCCCUGGGGGAUCUGACGAAGGCGUUCAGGAAGGUAUUUUAACAAGGAAACAUGAAUGGGAAUCCACGACUAAGAAGUCUACGAACCGGUCCUGGGAUAAGGUAUACAGCGUUGCUCGUAGUGGACGCCUAGCGUUCUUCAAGGAUCAGAAAACAUCUAAAUCAGUUCCAGAACAGACUUUCCGUGGCGAACCGCCACUGGAGUUGAAAGGAGCUCAGAUCGAAAUCGCUACAGAUUACACCAAGAAGAAGAAUGUGUUCAGAAUAAAACUCUCGAAUGGCGGAGAAUUCCUGCUCCAGUGUCACGAUGACGCCGAGAUGAACCAAUGGGUAACUGCUUUGAAAGCCCAGUGCGAGCUUGACGCUAGCGGUGAAGGGCGUUCGCUAACGUUGCCCGCAUCAUCACAAAAAGAUGAACAAAAGAGACGGUCAUUCUUUACACUGAAGAAAAAGUAAAUUGAACUUUACUCCUUCUUCCACCUAGAACGUUUCAAAACUCCCACUCCCCAACCCUACCGUACACACUCACAUCUCUCUGAGCGAAUAUCUUCUCACGUACUACACUGUAACAAAUGUUCGCGAGUUAUGCGCUAGUUCACGUUAAAACGCACUCGAAAACCAUUGUCCAUGUUUUGAUCUGCAGAAUAUUCCCGAAAGAUUUAAGAUUCACCCGCGAAUCGUGAACAUACAAACGUUUGCUAGUACAUCCAGUUUUAUUUUAGUUCUCCCUCGUCUACAUCACCGACCGCUCGGGCUUGACUGCUUGAGCUAUGGCGAAGUGAGAUACCAAUUUUAUGUUUGGCUUGUGUUCUGUUUGAAUUAGUACGUUUGGAGGUGUUACCGGUGUUUAGGUUAUAUUUAUUCAUCAUGUUUGGUUUAUUGAUUUUCUGGAGUAGCAGAUCAACCGAUCAAUCAAUCGCUUUCAUCUGUCAUAUAAACUUCCUGUGUUUGGAAACCCAUUUUCAAACAUCAAACUUCAUCAGUAUUGUUCUAUCGACUGUUUUGUUUUCUUCAACUGGGACCGUUAAAAUCUUUACAAAAACAUACAUGAUCCGAUAUCGACACAUCCAUGAAAAAAGAUUGAGAAUGAUCAGCAAAAUACCUGUACUAAACCCAAUUGGACAACCUUCUUCUGUUUUAAUUAGUUGAUAGCAAAAACAGUUUAAGUACGUACUCUUCAAAAUAAAAACUACAACAACAUUUCAAACAAUGUAGGGCAACAUUUGGAUCAGUCUGCGUACUGAAAAUUACUCAUUUUGACUAACACCUAUGUCUCAAUACAAUACAAGUCAGGAACAGUCGGUAACGAAUAGCGUCUAUAAUCUCAGCUUAGUCCAGUGAUUAACAUCAGCAGCACAUAUUUUAACGAAAUAAUGGUUAUGUUAAAUAAGUUGGAUAUUUUCAUGUCCAAUAACACUCACCCACCCAUCAUCAUCACAUCAUAGCGAGAUAUAGGCCAUCCUUUACGUACCUACCAAUAUAAGAACUUUGCAAAAUGAACAGCGUCUUCGCAAUACAAGCUAGAAAAGUUAAACCGACCUUUAAGAAACAACAAAAUGUUUAGAUAAGUAAAAAGAAAUCGUUGACUAAAUUACCAACAAAAGUAAUGCUCCGCUAAAGCUGAUUUGGAACCAAAUUAAAAUUUCUAUAAGUGUAAGAACCUGACGAAGAAAAUAAUUUUAAAAAAUCUGUAUAGAACGAGUAUCUAUAAAAUAAAAUGUUUAUUUAUUUUAUGUUAUUGAUCGAAUGAAAGCGAGCAAAAUUACUAUACCAGUCGACUCUUCGGUUUCGUUUCGCAAGAAAAGAAAUUGGAAGAACGCAUCGAGUAGCCCAAAGGCUGGAAAGAUAAUGAAGAAUGUGGAUUUUAUCAUUUUUCCAAAAAAAAAAAACAAAAUGUGUGCAACUUUUGAAAUUCUAGCUGCAAAAAUUGAGCACUGUGCCCUUGUUUAGAAUAUUUAUUCCGCUUACAAUAAUCAGAAUGAACACUUGGUCGCUUGAUCGAGAGCAUCGUUGUAUUUGGCUAUUUCGAUAGCAAACGACAACAAAUCAUAAAACGAUUUAUUUGGAACAGAAAACACCACCGAAGGAGUUUGAUUGGGUUUUGUUUUUCAAUUAGAAAAUCAACAUCAUCCUAUUUUCUUUUUCAAUUCUAAGAGAAGGAAAAGUAGAUCUAAGCAUUCAAUCUUUUUAAUUUCAGUUUGUUUAGGUUUUAAUCUCACAAUAAAUGAGAAAUUAAUAGUCGAUUGCUGUUUCUCUUAUGGGGAUAUGAAAUAAAUCGGCCGAUGCAUUCUUAAUUGUCGAAGCAGCUAAAAAAAUAAGAAAAAAGUAUAUUAGGCUUGUUAAAGUUUUUGCAUCGGUCCUUCAUUAGUUUACUAUAAAAACAAAGCUGCAUAAAACAUAAUUGCAAUAUCAUUAAAUUGAAUGUAUUUUCAAUGUUUGGACAGAAAAAGAUACAAUUAUUUUCAAUAAAUUGAUCGCAAGCAAAAGUAAAUUAUUGUUCAUAUUUUAGAUUGUACUGCACAUUAUUUAUUUUAAUGUUUUCUACUUUAGUAAGAAUUGAAUGAAAACGGAGCAGCGAUAUAAAGAAAAAUAAACAAAAGCAAGAAAACUUUAUUAAUUUGAAAGCUAUGUAAAAACAAGUUUGUUUUAUACAACAAAAAUAUAAUCAAUCAAGUAUAUUUUUUAAACUGCCAGCUUGUGAGUAAAUAAAAUAAUAAACAUCUAUUACAACUCUUA